rnacentral:rRNA from 1 species
AGUGAACGCUGGCGGUAGGCCUAACACAUGCAAGUCGAACGGCAGCACAGUAAGAGCUUGCUCUUACGGGUGGCGAGUGGCGGACGGGUGAGGAAUACAUCGGAAUCUACUUUUUCGUGGGGGAUAACGUAGGGAAACUUACGCUAAUACCGCAUACGACCUACGGGUGAAAGCAGGGGAUCUUCGGACCUUGCGCGAAUGAAUGAGCCGAUGUCGGAUUAGCUAGUUGGGGGGGUAAAGGCCCACCAAGGCGACGAUCCGUAGCUGGUCUGAGAGGAUGAUCAGCCACACUGGAACUGAGACACGGUCCAGACUCCUACGGGAGGCAGCAGUGGGGAAUAUUGGACAAUGGGCGCAAGCCUGAUCCAGCCAUACCGCGUGGGUGAAGAAGGCCUUCGGGUUGUAAAGCCCUUUUGUUGGGAAAGAAAAGCAGCAGGUUAAUACCCCGCUGUUCUGACGGUACCCAAAGAAUAAGCACCGGCUAACUUCGUG